rnacentral:ncRNA from 3 species
AACGCACCUUGCGCCCCUUGGUAUUCCGAGGGGCACACCCGUUUGAGCGUCGUGAAAUUCUCAACCUCCUCGGUUUCUUCUGGAGACUGAAGGAGGCUUGGACUUUGGAGGCCUUUGCUGGCGUGUCUCGCCAGCUCCUCUUAAAUGAAUUAGCGUGGUCCUCUUUGCCGAACCUCGACACGUGAUAAGAUGCUUCCGUGUCUCGGUUUCUGGCUCUGUUGCUUUUGGGACCCGCUUCUAACCGUCUGGACCUUGCGUCGAGACAAUGUUCGAGCUCGUAUCCCUUCUUGGGAAACCCCCUCGACCCCACGAACCCUUGGCCUCAAAUCGGGUGAGACUACCCGCUGAACUUAA